CUUGAAGAGGAAAAAAGUUACAGCUGUUGAGAGUUUUUUCUUUCUUCCUGGAUGUGAAGAGUAGGACACAAUUCAUGGCAGCAGGGCUGAUAGGAGUUGCGGCCCAAAACAUCUGGAGCGCAUUAGCUUUGAAAGAGCUGGCAAUUUGGGGCCAGAUUGUUUUAAGGAUCACCUGCAUCCACACGAACCUACCCCAGCUUUAAGAUCAGCAUUGGAGACUCUGCUCAUUGACCCACAUUGAAGCAGAGUUAGAUUGGGAGGCAAGAAGGACAGAGCCUUCUCAGCAGUGGCCCCUGCAUGAUGGAACUCCCUCCCCAAGGAUGUGUGGGUAGCCAUAAGUCGGGAUCAACUUGAAGACAAUCUAUUUCCAUUUCCAUGUGGCCACAGCUGAAACAACUCUGUGAACAGUUCUGGCCACCACAUCCCAAAAAGGAUAUCACUGAGCAUGAAAAGGUGCAGAGCUUGGAGCAUCUUCCCUACAAGGAAAGAAUUUCCAAUGAAUCAUCCAAUGAAGUUGACUGCCAAGAAGUAUUUCUUCACAUAAUGUAUAAUCAACAAGAUAGAGUGAUGGCCACUGACUCAGGUGGCUUUGAAAAAAGAUUAGACAAAUUCAUUGAGAAUAGUUUAUCAAUGGCUAAUACCUCUAGAUCAGUUCAAGGGCCACAUUCCCUCAUGUGAAACCUUCUGACAGGCACAUGUCAGUGGUGGGUGUGGACCAGAGGCAAAAAGGGAUGAAGCAACAGAUGUGACUCUUACUUUUAUACAAUAUGCUACAUUCUUUGUUAAUGAUUGUAAUGUUUGUAAUUUGAUCUUAGCUUAUCCAGUUUUUUAGAUUGUGAAAUUUGAUUUUAG